rnacentral:rRNA from 1 species
CAGUAGCCGCGGUAAUACGUAGGGUGCGAGCGUUAAUCGGAAUUACUGGGCGUAAAGCGUGCGCAGGCGGUUUUGUAAGACAGGCGUGAAAACCCCGGGCUCAACCUGGGAAUGGCGCUUGUGACUGCAAAGCUAGAGUGCGGCAGAGGGGGAUGGAAUUCCGCGUGUAGCAGUGAAAUGCGUAGAUAUGCGGAGGAACACCGAUGGCGAAGGCAAUCCCCUGGGCCUGCACUGACGCUCAUGCACGAAAGCGUGGGGAGCAAACAGGAUUAGAUACCCCAGUAGUCCCUGUCUCUUAUAC